AAGUGAAUAAAACAUUAUCAAUGUUUCUUUGCUUAUCUUGACAAAAUUAACCCAUACUGGCUGCUAAUAAAGAAUUAUUAUUUCACUAUUUCACUUUUUAUAUACAUGUAUCUCAUAGAUAGUGCCCCAUUAAAGUACUUACACAUGCUUUUUAGAUUAUCUGGUUUAAUAGGAAGUAAGAUUUUAAAUAUGAGGCUAAACAUUCUUAGAAUUUGCAGUUAAUGAUUGCAUUGUUAUUGUUGAAUUUUUUGCUUAAAAAAAAAAUGACAUGGAUAUACACUGUUAAAUUUAAUUUUCUUCAAAACAACAUCGCUGAAUUUUAAGUUUUUAACUUUUCUUAUUGUUUCUUUCAGUCCAUAAUUUAAGUGUUGCAUUUUCUGAAUUCUAGAGAUAGGUUCAUAAGGUAUAAAAUAUUAUAACUUAUGUUAUUUGGUCUCAAAUUCAUCGAGUAAUAUUUGAAGCAUAUUAACAAGAUUGGUCAAUGUAAAAAUACAAGAGUAAAAAAAAACAAGAAUUCAAUACAUCUAAAAAAAAUCUAUGUCGAUGAGAGUAAAUUUUUAUAGUAUAUUUGUUUGAAAUCAGUAUGUCAUAUUUUAAAAAACUUUACAAGUGCUUGUUUAUUUACACAGGGAUUAAAUGUCUGCCUUUAAGACUUAGUUUCUUUUUUAUUCAAAUUGAAAUUGUGUAGUCAUUGUAAAAAAGGGGAGACAAUCACAAACAAAAAGAGGCAACACAAAAAAAAAAACACUAUAUAAUUAGGUUUAGAAGCAUUUAUCAGAUUCAGCUGUUUAUACCUUAUCUUCAGUCUUGUAUGGAUGACUACCAUUUCACAUGACAUGAUAUAUGUCAUGGCAGUCAGCAGUGUUUAAGAACAUCUUUUGUUAGACCUGCUAGUCAAAUGCAUUUUGUUAAAAUAUUCUUUU
rnacentral:lncRNA from 1 species